CAAGAGCCAAGAGAAUGACCACAACCAAUUGUUUUUGCCAGUUUUGCUAAUAAUUUGGUUUGUUUUGGAGAUGACCUGAAUACUUGGACACAAAAAAGUAAUAACGAAGUGAGGCGACUUUGCAAAUUAGUAAGGACAGGUACAGGCAGUUCCACCCAAAUGGUCAAAACACAGGUAUCAAAGUCGAAGCACAGUUGAUGCCAUUACGGACUUUACGAACGAGAUUCAUGAUUGUUUUGAAAAUGCAAAGUGAUCGACAACAAAGUGUCAACUUUAAAAAUACUGUGUCUGAGAGUCCUCCUGUUGAGUGUGGUGUCCCUCAAGGAUCUGUCUUGGGUCCUUCACUUUUCUUAAUAUACGUUAAUGACUUUCCAUAUUGGUUAAAGAACACCAAAGUGACAUUAUUUGCGAAUGAUACGUCACUACUUGUGGCGGGUAAUUAAACUAUGAUUAAGUUUAAUACUUCGGGGCCGAGUGGUAGCCGCCACCAGAGCGAAAAACAUUUAUUUGAGGUAGGUCUUCCGGCUAUGUUGCGGAAACAAUUAUUUGGGAAAGAUUGAGGCAGACACAUUAAAGACGUACUCAUUAAUAAAUAGUUUAAUUAACAUAUUUGAAAAGUACAAAAAGUAAUAAGUAUGCUUGCAUUAAGGAGACAAAUACUAAAUCUAUUGGGAAUCGCCAUCUCUUAUGGAACCGGUCCUGGAUUGAUUCACCAAAUACCCGUCACCGAAUUGAGUACAUGAAUUUACCGAAUACCACAUAUAACCCUAAUUUACUUCUAGUUCUAACAAUUAUAGUACUUAACGUUUAUUUAGUCUUUAAAAAUCCAACAAAGUUUCGUUCAUUUAUCAUUCGCAACGGCGUUCGAAUCGUUCAAAUAAACAGGUAGCGUCCGCCGCCUUUGUUACGUAAUUUACAACCCCAAAACGUUCGGCAGGUACUUAUGAUAAUUUUUACAACAAGGUCCAUGUCGAACAACGUGAGAAACUCUGGCCACCUCGAGAAAAGAAACAGUUUACCUAUCUUUAACAUCUAUUGUUUCGCAAACCACCCGCUAGUGUUCACCGUAUAUUUUCCUGACUGGUAAUUAAUACUGAGUCUGUUCUGUCUCAUAAACAUGGAAAAAUAUCACAACAAAGUCCGACAAAGCAUAAACCAAAAUACGAAAGAGCUGAUAACGAUCCAUGCUCGGAGUAAAGAGAAUUCAAAUUGACCAAAACUCACAAUGCAUCAUGCGAAGUUGCCUCGAUGAAAUAAUUCCAAAAUCAGGGCACUUAGGGCUUUUCUUUUUUUCACAAUACAACACAAUUGUCACUUAAAACAGUUGAUCACCGUAGGAUCUUUUGAGAACGGUAAGGCAAUACCGCAACCGCUCGGUACUUCUUACUUCGAAAAAACUCGGCGUAAGACUCAUUUGAUUUUUGUUUUAAUUUUACUCGUUACUUCGGUCCCCUACUCAACCCUUAUUGAUUGUAAAUUUGGUCAACCCCGAGGUUAAGUAAGUUGGUGAAUUUCCUGUUGGUGUUGCCCUGUGCUUCCUUUCUCGUGCCCCAGACGGAUUUUUAUUCGGUAUUGUUUUUAACUUUUGGAGGGUGCAUUUUAAUGCAUUUUAGUUAUCUACCAUUCAAUUUCCCUGGCCUGGAUGUGCCCCAGACGUUUGACUUUGCGUACUUAUUUUGUUGGGCUUUGUUUUAAUUUCCCGUGAUUUUUAGUAAUCUCGCACGUGUUCAUAAAUGUUACAUUGCCUGUCUGUUCCUUUUCCGUUGGUACCCCGGGAGGGUCGUGACCCGCGUUAAUUAAGGAGGGCCAAUUUGGCCCGUCACAACCACUCCCCUCUCACAAGAAAAGCAUGGGUUUUAAUAACCCAUGUCUUUUCAACUACCUUAACUUAUCUUAACCCUGAAUUUUCUUCCUGGGAAUAACCCAAUUGUGAAAAUAUGAUACUAAUUGUUGAUUGUUACUAACCUAUCCCUGGAGAAAAUUUUAGGUGUUCUUAGUUCUAAUUGACAACUAGGCGUGACGGACAAUAAUUACGCGCACUCUCGGCACUAUCCACUUUUCAUACAAUCACUAAAACUUCCUCAUAGGCACUGUCUUCUUCCUGGAUGGUGGAAACGCGAUAGGACGCCUUUGCUUUUCGUGAGGUUGUGCCGGUUUCCUCUGGGUGUUGUUGUUGAGUCUCUUCUUUCCACGUAAAUACUGGCUUUGGUGGUUGUUUUGGUACGUCAUAAUGUGGGUUGAUCUGUGUUGUUUGGCCUGACCCUUGUGAGGUGAGGGUUCCUUGGGAAAAACGCUGGUAACUUGGAAUGAGUGCCAGGUUUUUUUGUUGCCGUUUGAUUCUGCGAAGAUUACGUGUGGUGAUCAUGCAAAUUAAUAGGAAUAGGAAGGUCAGUAUCAGUAUCACCCAUGUUACUUGGCUGAUGAUCUUCUGGAUGUUGUUUUCCGUGAUUUCGUUCGAGCUUGGACAAUUUGGAUAGUAGUGCACUGACCGUGUGUACGCCGUGUUCGCGGUGUGUGGAAUUGGUUGUGAAGCAUAGAUUUUAUAAUUGACCCCACAAUUCAAUGCUAUGGUAAUUGGUAAGUUUUGUGCCAUUGACAUUCCCCAUCCUUUGGAUUCCUGGUUUUCCCAUGUCACGCUCCAGGGUCCCGGUGGGAUUGUUGCGCCCAGAGCUUGCGCUGAUACGUAUAUAAGCCAAGGAUGCUCGGGCGACGGUUGUAGAACAGGGUACCAAUCCGGUUGUAUUGUUCUCCUUGGACUUGGGCGUGAUGAUUGUAAGCUGUCACUCAAUUCAAGAUCAUCUUUACCCCAAAACCUAUUACUAUUUACUAAUGAACUUGUUUCACUUUGUUGGACUUUAUUGCUACAAUAGUAUUGCGAUCUAAAUUCCGGGUAUGAACUUAGAGUGGGAAUCCUCAAAGGUUACCUUUCGGUUUGCUUGCUCUGUUAAUUCCGGAUAAACACUUUGUGUCACUACUGACUCAAGACACGGCUCCGAUUUACUAAGGUUAACCAUUUCCAUUUCCUGACUUGGGCUGAUGGUUGUGCGAAAAGAUUUUCUGUGUGUGGGCCAAACUUGCGUGCUACUUCCUUUUUGUGUUUCAUAUAAAGAAACCACAACGUCAGACUGUCCCAAAAUCUGGCCAGCAGCUUAUAGGACCAUCCGUGUGUCCGAUGGAUCGUGAUUGCAUUUAUAAGCACUUCAGUGUCCUCCAGCUUAAGCAUAAUCCUAACAGUCCACUUGUUAUAUUUCCGAUUCAGCUGAACCAACCCCACAUCUUUUCCAUUGUUGACUCUGCCAAUUUUUCCAUCUCUUCCGCACUGAACAUGGAAAGCACUGGUACUCCUCCUGAUGAAAUUAUGUGGCCUAAAUAUUUGGCUUCUCUCAUCAGGAAAUUACAUUUGGUUGGUUUUAGCUUGAGAUUCACUUGCCUCAAUCUAUCAAAAACACUUUUCAGUCUUUCCAGAUGUUCUUUGUAGUCUGAUGAACUGAAUACGAUGACGUCAUCCAGGUAGACCAAACAUUCUAAACCUACGAGUCCA